rnacentral:rRNA from 1 species
GAUGAACGCUGGCGGCGUGCCUAAUACAUGCAAGUCGAGCGAACAGACGAGGAGCUUGCUCCUCUUACGUUAGCGGCGGACGGGUGAGUAACACGUGGAUAACCUACCUAUAAGACUGGGAUAACUUCGGGAAACCGGGGCUAAUACAGGAUAAGAUCUUGAACCGCAUGGUUCAAUAGUGAAAGACGGUUUUGCUGGCACUUAUAGAUGGAUCCGCGCCGCAUUAGCUAGUUGGUAAGGUAACGGCUUACCAAGGCAACGAUGGGUAGCCGACCUGAGAGGGUGAUCGGCCACACUGGAACUGAGACACGGUCCAGACUGCUACGGGAGGCAGCAGUAGGGAAUCUUCGGCAAUGGGCGAAAGCUUGACGGAGCAAGGCCGCGUGAGUGAUGAAGGUCUUCGGAGCGUAAAACUCUGUUAUUAGGGAAGAACAAAUGUGUAAGUAACCAUGCACGUCUUGACGGUAACUAAUCAGAAAGCCACGGCUAACUACGUG